GAUGAACGCUGGCGGCGUGCCUAAUACAUGCAAGUCGAGCGAACAGAUGAGGAGCUUGCUCCUCUGACGUUAGCGGCGGACGGGUGAGUAACACGUGGAUAACCUACCUAUAAGACUGGGAUAACUUCGGGAAACCGGAGCUAAUACCGGAUAAUAUAUUGAACCGCAUGGUUCAAUAGUGAAAGACGGUUUUGCUGUCACUUAUAGAUGGAUCCGCGCCGCAUUAGCUAGUUGGUAAGGUAACGGCUUACCAAGGCAACGAUGCGUAGCCGACCUGAGAGGGUGAUCGGCCACACUGGAACUGAGACACGGUCCAGACUCCUACGGGAGGCAGCAGUAGGGAAUCUUCCGCAAUGGGCGAAAGCCUGACGGAGCAACGCCGCGUGAGUGAUGAAGGGCUUCGGAUCGUAAAACUCUGUUAUUAGGGAAGAACAAAUGUGUAAGUAACUAUGCACGUCUUGACGGUACCUAAUCAGAAAGCCACGGCUAACUACGUGC
rnacentral:rRNA from 1 species